UCAUUUUUAUCCUCACAAAUAGUAUGCACUAGGGAUUUUGACCUUUAAAUUUUGGGAAAAAAAUACGGAUAAUACUCGGGGAUUUAUGGUAUGUAU